AUAUGGCCUUAAUGAUUUUUUUUAGGGGAAGGUUGAAAAAAUAAUAUUUAACAUUUAUUUUAAUUGCAAAUAUUGAAUGACAGUUAUUAACAUGUUGAAGCUUGAUAGCUGAAACAACUUUUACCUAGAUUAACAGCAGGUACUGAUUAACUAAGGUAUUUUUUAAAGUUCAAUAACAACGAUUAUCGAACUUAACAUUCAAACAAGAUGGUUCAAGUCCUAAGGGAAAACCACAAGUGAACAGAUAACACCUAAGCAAUUCUAACAAGAAGAUCCAGGAUUGAAUCUCAACUAUUAUGACAAGAAGAUCCAGGAUUAAAUCUCAGCCAUUAUGACAAGAAGAUCCAGGAUUGAAUCUCAGCCAUUAUGACAAGAAUAUCCAGGAUUAAAUCUCAGCCAUUAUGUCAAGAAGAUCCAGGAUUAUAUCUCAGCCAUAAUGAUAAAAGAAAGAUUUCUCAUCAGGACCUAACUGAAUACAACAUAACAUUAGAGGAAAAAAAGGGGCCUUUUGGUCCACUCAGAAUACCAAAAGAACUGGAGAAGAGACCACAAUGGAUCUAGAUGAUUUGAUGUGAAUACUGACAGCCAUCCAGCAUUGACUGCUUGUUAUGUUAAAGACUUGGGAGACAAUCAAGAAUUCUUGGCAGUAAUGGAUGGAAUAUCAUAACCAGUACACAGUAAGUUUAUAUUAUACUGUUU
rnacentral:lncRNA from 1 species